UACGUAGGUGACAAGCGUUGUCCGGAUUUACUGGGCGUAAAGAGCGCGCAGGCGGUCGUUCAAGUCGAGUGUGAAAGCCCCCGGCUCAACUGGGGAGGGUCACUCGAUACUGAUCGACUUGAAGGCAGGAGAGGGAAGCGGAAUUCCCGGUGUAGUGGUGAAAUGCGUGAGAUAUCGGGAGGAACACCAGUGGCGAAGGCGGCUUCCUGGCCUGC
rnacentral:rRNA from 1 species